rnacentral:rRNA from 2 species
AGCGGCGGACGGGUGAGUAAUGCCUAGGAAUCUGCCUAGUGGUGGGGGAUAACGUUCGGAAACGGACGCUAAUACCGCAUACGUCCUACGGGAGAAAGCGGGGGAUCUUCGGACCUCGCGCCAUUAGAUGAGCCUAGGUCGGAUUAGCUAGUUGGUGAGGUAAUGGCUCACCAAGGCGACGAUCCGUAACUGGUCUGAGAGGAUGAUCAGUCACACUGGAACUGAGACACGGUCCAGACUCCUACGGGAGGCAGCAGUGGGGAAUAUUGGACAAUGGGCGAAAGCCUGAUCCAGCCAUGCCGCGUGUGUGAAGAAGGUCUUCGGAUUGUAAAGCACUUUAAGUUGGGAGGAAGGGUAGUAACCUAAUACGUUGCUACUUUGACGUUACCGACAGAAUAA